rnacentral:rRNA from 1 species
GACCUACGGGGCGCAGCAGUCGGGAAUAUUGCGCAAUGGAGGCAACUCUGACGCAGUGACGCCGCGUAUAGGAAGAAGGUUUUCGGAUUGUAAACUAUUGUCCUCAGGGAAGAAAAAAGACUGUACCUGAGAAGAAAGCUCCGGCUAACUACGUGCCAGCAGCCGCGGUAAUACGUAGGGGGCAAGCGUUAUCCGGAAUUACUGGGUGUAAAGGGAGCGUAGACGGUAAUGCAAGUCUGGAGUGAAAGGCGGGGGCCCAACCCCCGGACUGCUCUGGAAACUGUGUAACUGGAGUGCAGGAGAGG